CGUGUCAGGAAUUAAUCAACUUUAUAGUUUGUCAACUAUUACAACAACCAGAGAAAAUAUUUUAUGGACAAGAAUAUUGGGUUAAGAGAUGCUGAAUAACCUAAUAAGUGGUUAGGGAUUAGAACCCAGGUCUAUCUGAGAGUUUCUCAAUGAGGGGCAGUUUUUUCCACCUAGGAAACAUUUGAUAAUAAUGUCUAGAGUCAUUUGGAGUUACUCUAACUAGAGGGAGUGCUAUUGUCAUCUAGCAGGUAGAAGUUGGGUAUACAGCUACACCUCCUGCAAAGCACAAGACUGCCCCCGCCACACAGAAUUGCCCAGUCCCAAAUGUCCAUAGUGACAAGGCUGAGAAUCCCCACCUCCCCAUCUAUCUGACUUGACUCUAAAGUUGAUUUUGUGCGUUGCAAAGCAUCCAGCAUCUAGAUAUACAGGGAAAUGCGGAUGAGAUUGCAAAGGUGUGGCUGGAGGCAAAAGAGGAUGAAGGCAAGUCUUUGGCUUGGAGUGGAGAUUUCCAUUCAUUUGUAAGGGAGAGGUGGAGUGUGAGCAGGCAACAGAAUUCAAGCCCAUAAACAUGUCAUCAUUCAAAUUAACUGUCCCGUUUGUCAUCUGAUGAACACUGCCCGGCAUGGUGGAAGAUCCUGAAGAUGCUGCCAAUGGCUCUGAACAAAACCAAGCAUUCCAGUCCAAGGAACCUUUAACUCUGUCUCCCUCUGACUAUCGUCUGCCUGCCUUGAGAUUGUCAGAGUAACCAAGGCAGCCCAUUAGGCCCUCUUAUCGCAGCACCCAUGGCUGGCUGGGCGUGAGCCCCAGCAAUGUCUCCUUCAUUACGGGCCCAGCCUCCGGCUGUCAGCACCUGGCGCUGGGCCAGCAGGGGCCCUAGGCAGGGUGACUGGUACCAGACACCCAGGCCUGUUCUCUGUCCUCCCAUUAGUAAUAAAUGGCUUUCCUGGCUCUGCCAGUGCAUGGAUCAUAGACUCCCUGUAAGCCAGACAGCCAUUUUUCUAUGCCUGAUUGCAGCAUGAAAAGCAGAAGCUUUCUUGGAUUAUAGUUGAGUGAAAAUGCUCUCUCACAUAUUUUCUCCAUCAUUAUCCUGUCAUAAAUCAAUCUACUGAGCAAUGUCUGUACCUUCGCAGUGAAGAUUUCCUCAACCCCUCCAGACCUGGGCUGUGCCAGACACAUUGCACAGGCAAUUCAGUAAGACCCUUUAUGCCAUCUCCAGCACACCUUCCCCUCUGCUCCUAGUGUCAGAGGCAGUUCUGUCCAGGCCCCGAGCUCUUCCCCCAGAUCUCCAUCCUCCCCCAGGGCAGCUGGUGUCUGAGCUUGUGAGGGCUCUCCUGCCCAUGGCUGCAUUCUCAAUGCUUAUCAGUGGACCUGGUACCAAUGGAUGGAUCAGAUUCUAUUAGUUAAAUGAAUGAAUGGGAUGCUUAUGUACAGAUAUCCUUCAGAGCAGUUUCUUCUAUUGACUGCAUUAUGACUUUUGGAUGUCUGGCUCAUCUACAAUCAAAAAGCUCCAGGAAGGCUGGGACCAUGUCUGCGCUUCUUUGUAUUCCCCAUAGGUGGUCCAUUUUCGGAGUUAAAUGGUUGAAUGAGUGGAAAUAAUUAAUUGAAGCAGUGAAUGAAUCAAGGUUUGAGACUCUCUUUAUAUUUGACUUCCGACAUCCAAAUGGCACCCGAGGUUACAUAACUGUAUGUGUUUCUCAGAACUCAUAGAGCUGGAUACACAACAGGAUGAAUUUUAUUCCACAUAAGUUAAGUUCUUAAUAAAAAAGAAAAUUUUAAAUGUACCACAAGAAAUAAAUCCCUUUUCUUAAAUAUGUGAUUAUGACCAUUAUAAAAAUUUAAAAGUCAGUUUUCUCCCUUAAAAAUAUUAUACAAAAAAAAGUGUGUUAUUGCAGAUGCAUCACUUCACCAUGUUCACUCUAAAAGAACCUUUCAUAACCAUCUUUGGAUUGUGACCUUAUUUCAUAGACAAGCCCUUGGUAAAAACGAGAUAUUUCUAGUUUCUGAAGGCAACAUUCAGCUAUAGAUACGUCUUCAGAGAGUAAAUGUUCUUUUAGCAGAUGUCACUCUGCUGGAUUUUUUAAAUGAUCUGUGCUAAAAUUCCUGAGUUGUAAAAAUUAUGUUUUGCUUCAGGGAUUUAUUUACCUCUAUCCUAACAUAUUACAUCAUAAAAUAACAUGCAUAAACUGCCAGGAAUAGCUUCCUAGGGACAUAGAGACUUAGUAGGGUACUAUAUGAACAGAAUACUUCCCAAAUUGCAAAUAUUUCAUAAUUAAAAAAAAUCCCCAAUUUAAGAAUGGAAAAGAUAAACAAUAAGCAGAACACUAGAGAUUAUAUCUUUGGUACAAAGCAGUAAGAGUUGUCAUGGUCCUUCUAAUAGUCUUCCAUUAUUCGUCCAGCUCACGUUAAAAUCACCCAUCUCUAAAUUCCUUUGGCACUUUUUGUUUAUAUCUUUUGAGACUGGGAUCCUCAGCCUAAGGCAGAAUCCAUCUGGACCACAUAUAGAAUGAAUACAGUACAAGUGGUGUGUGUGUGUGUCCUUUUGUUUGACUUGUAGUUUUUUAAAGUUUUGAAUUUGUCAUUAACAUUUCCAAAAUGGGCAAAUUUCCUCUACAAAUCCAGUGUUCCAGUUUCUCUUGAGAAAUGAGAAAUAUCGGGAAAUGCUCAGUCCACAUUCCCACAUGGCUGGAGCCAAGUGGCGUCUGCUUUCUCUAGAAGGAGCCUGUGCUAGUUGGCUAGUGUCUCCACAAUUGGCUAGUGUCUCCACAAUUAUUUGUGCUACCUCUCUGGUCCUGGUGGACUUUGAAUGUGCCACCCCAUGCUUAAGCAUGGGCCAGGUGUAUGGAACAUUGUACAAACCCACUCAAUGUGGGAAAGCAGGCAGAGAUGGCUCCCUGUCAUGUUGGAUCAAAGAACCUAGUUGUGAGUGUGGUCAAAGCCAUGAAGCUGAAGGGAAGGUCCACAGACCUAGAAGAUCAGGGCAUGAAGGUUGCAGGGGGCAGUAGGAUGAUAUGGUUGACGGUGGAUAAUGAUUCCGCAAGAGUGGAGAAGGCAGUUGUUGGACUUUACAACAUGCUGGUGUCAUCUGGAGCCCACAUGUCACAUCCAUGACAGUCUAUACCACAGUGCUUUCCUUCUACAAAAGGAAGCAGGAGUCCCACGGGAGUUAUACCUUUCUUCAAGGGCUACCAGUUCUUGUCAAUGUCACUGCCAUCUUCCAAGGCAAGAGCAAGGGCUCUGGAAGCAGCCUCAUUUUCACCAGUUACUCAUAUCCUAUCCUGUGUUGGCUUUCAGUAGGUGUUUUAUUUCUUUACAAGGGUAGUUACUUUCUGUCGCCAGGGAAAUGCUUUACAUCUCUCUUGUUACUUUCUAUGGCAAACCACUAUGUGUUAGCCAAACAGCCCAUACUCCUUAUUUGUUCUAAAUUGAAUCAGCAGGCUAUUGUCAGUACCUAAGGAAGAUCAGAAAGACAAAAUGGCAGGAUCUGCAUGGGGGUCAUAUAACAGUCAGCUUGGACCGUGUCUUGCUCUCCAGGAUAGCCCAGACCUGUUUGACCCCUGCCAGGCUGGAGAGUCCACAGAGAGAAGAAAUCCUUUUAGAUGCCUAUCUAGAAGCAUUCCAAAAAUUGUUAGGUAGUAAUGAAACUGGUGCCCGGUCUAAUCCUGAUUACACCUGAGCACAGGUAUUGAAUGGCUCUAAUAUUUGAGGCUAAGAGGCUUCUCAGGUGAGUCUUCUCUCUGAAGAUUGUAGAGUUUCAGAUAAUUCCCAGCCAAAUGUCAAAAGAGAUUUGUACCUGCACUCACAUAGGAUUCUAGUAGAAAUGAGCUCGAGCAUCUAUGAUCAAGAAGUUUCUCCUGUUUCUGUAAACACUGGUUUAUCAGCCCUGCUGUUCUUUAGUGCACACCCUGCCUUCUAAUUACGCCCUAAUUUGGACUAUGCAAACAUCUAACAAUUCUUCCACCAACAGCUUUUCUAAUUAGUAAGGAAAUCAGUGGCAGAUGUGAAAUCUGUGGGAUGCUGAAUGUAAAAUGUUAAUUAAUUUUUAAAAAAAAACGAUGAAGCCUCUUGAAAAACCUUUCCUGAGAAAACUUCGAGUGAUGCCCUCAUUAACACAGACCCUGAAAGAGCUUUUCCUUUGAUCAUGCUGCUCUUUGAGUCUUACACUUUCGGGACUCUUCUCUGGACUGAAGCUCUUUGGGGAAUUUAUGAACUCUUAAAUCAGUGCUUAAGUGGACCCAGAAUUGGUUAUUCUAACCCCUUUGACCCUAUCUGACUCUGGUGAUCAUUGGGGAUCUUCCCCACCCCCACCCCUAGCCCCACCCUCACCCCCAAGAUAAUGUGAGAAAAGCUGUAAAGUCUGUGGGUUUGUCACAGUCGUGAAGGAGGGGCAGUGUCUCUCCUUAGGAACUUCAUCUUAUGUUCCAAAAGCUUCCUGGAGUUGCCCUUGAGAAUUUGUGCAGCAGAAUUGCCCCCAAAGAUAAUAUAAUGAGAAUAAUCAUUCUGCCUGCAGGUUUAACAUGCCUCAUGCUACAGGGACCAUCUGGAAACCAGCUUGGUCAGUAAGUUAGGUCCAUCUAAGUGGAAAAGGGAGUUGUAAGACCGAACAAUGGAGAUAGUUAUUUGUAGUCACCCCUACAACAAAAUUACUAGAAAUUUUUAUCCCUAGAACCCAGAAGGGAUGAGGCAUUCUCCUUACAGCACGUGAAGUUCUCCUCUGAGGUGAAAAGAUUCCAGUUCUGCCUGCAUUUUGCCUGUAGCAUCCCCUGCUGUCCCUUCGGAGGACACCAGCUGGCUUUGGCCUGACGUGGCAUUCUUUUCUAGCUGCAUCUCAGCUGCUGCAUCCUUCUAGCACUUCUCCUGCAGAAGUUAAAGGAAGGGUCCACAUUGCGGGGGUAUAAGAAGUCUCCCAAAUCAAAGAGCUCUCUUUUCAUUUUCUUGUACAACUCUUUUGAUUGUAGUCACUUUCGUUUUAAUCAAAUUUUCCCUCAUUAAGACUUAAAAACCUUUAUUCAGAAAUCAUAAAAAUCUUAACACUGCAUAUGUUCCCAGCUAUCAAAGCACUUGACAUUGAAUACUUUUUGUAAGCCUCUCGACAACUCUUCCUAGUGCUGUUAUCAUUGCCACUUUACAGGUGGGAAAACUGAGGCAUUGGCAGGUUGAAUGGCAUGCUCAAGUCACAGAGUGAGUCACAAAUCUGGGAUUCAAACUCAGAUCAACUGGCUCCAGAGUCUAUGCUCUUGAUUGAAAAAUGGGACAAGUAACACUUCAGGUUAUACUGGAAAGCUCCCCUCCACCUCAUUGCUAUUUGCUGUCCCCACUAGAUACGUCUUCCCUGCCUUCUAGAUAUGCCAUCCAUGCCUGCACCUCCUCAGUUGCCUGCUGUACUCCCCUCACCAUCCCCACACCCCUACUCACUAGAGAUGUGUAUCCUCAAGGUCUGGCUCAUGGCCACUGCCUGACCCUAUUAUUUCCAGAUGGGCUCUGAGCCUCAGACAAAUAGAACACCACAAAUAAAGAGGCAGGUGUCUCCUGGUGGCCCCCUCCUUCCCUUCCUGAAGAGAGUCCCUUCAUAUAUGUCACAGAGACCGACCCCUUGUAAAACUUCCUUUGAUGUUGGCUUGGGUUCACAUGUGUCCGUAUGUGCACACCUGUGCGCUGGUUUUGGAUCUCCGGGGCAUGGCAAGGGUAAGUGAAGGAGAUUUUGAAGAGAAGGCAGGUUUGAUAUCCUGGGGAGCAUUGCAAUUCAUGAAAACACUUGGUGGGACUUAGAAGUCCUUUCCCCUUUUGUUGUCUUGAGUCUCGAAAGUCAGUCAGGCUGCUCUAGUUUUAAAAAUUCUCAGUUCUUAAACUGCCUUUUUUUUUGGUCUUUUUGUCCUUUUAGGGCUGCAGUCGCGGCAUAUGGAAGUUCCCAGGCAAUGGGUUGAAUUGGAGCUGGAGCCACUGGCCUAAACCACAGCCACAGCAACUCCAGAUCUGAGCCAUGUCUGUGACCUACACCACAGCUCAUGGCAAUGCUGGAUCCUUAACCUACUCAGGAGGCCAGGGAUUGAACUUGCAACCUCAUGGAUACUAGUCAGAUU
rnacentral:lncRNA from 1 species